CAAUAGCGUAUAUUAAAGUUGUUGCAGUUAAAAAGCUCGUAGUUGGAUUUCUGGUUGGUACGGACGGUCCCGAGCAAUCGGCGAACUGUGUGUGCUGACCUUCCUCUCGGGGGCUGCGUGGUGCUUCAUUGUGCUGCGUGGAAUUCGAGACCUUUACUUUGAAAAAAUUAGAGUGUUCAAAGCAGGCCUUUGCUUGAAUACAUUAGCAUGGAAUAAUGGAAUAGGACUUUUGUUCUAUUUUGUUGGUUUCUAGGACAGAAGUAAUGAUUAAUAGGGACAGUUGGGGGCAUUAGUAUUUAAUUGUCAGAGGUGAAAUUCUUGGAUUUAUGAAAGACUAACAUCUGCGAAAGCAUUUGCCAAGGAUGUUUUCAUUGA
rnacentral:rRNA from 1 species